UACGAAGGGGGCUAGCGUUGUUCGGAAUCACUGGGCGUAAAGCGCACGUAGGCGGAUCUUUAAGUCAGGGGUGAAAUCCCAAGGCUCAACCUUGGAACUGCCUUUGAUACUGGGGAUCUUGAGUCCGGGAGAGGUGGGUGGAACUGCGAGUGUAGAGGUGAAAUUCGUAGAUAUUCGCAAGAACACCGGUGGCGAAGGCGGCCCACUGGCCCGGUACUGACGCUAGGUGCGAAAGCGUGGGGGAGCAAACAGGGA
rnacentral:rRNA from 1 species